rnacentral:lncRNA from 1 species
GAUCGAAAGAAUGCUAACUGAUGGUGACUUGAGCAAUGACUCCCACUGUUGAGCAAGAUGGAGUUUGCAAAAGCCAUUAAUAUUCUCCAUCUAGUAAGCGUCACUUAAGCAGAACUAUAAUUAGUGGCCGGGCACUGCUUGUUAUAUGUUUGGUGGUGAGAACCCUGAAACCUCACCAAACAUCCUGCCCUGGCCAAGCAAGACAGGGUGCCCAGGGAAUGCAGAAGACUUCUUCCGGGAUGGGGCCUGUGUCAUCACCAUUAGACGAGAACUGGAGAGACUAAGUUGUUUUUCCAGGUUGGUCUUUGAGCCUAGGACACUCUCAGAAAAAUUACACACGUGCCCAAUAAUGAAACCCGCCUGUGGUUUCGAGGAUUUUCCCAAUGCCUUUGAACCCGAUCCUGGAACACAGGGUAAGGUGGCUGUCCCCAGGGAGGAUGUUUCCAGGGCUGGCACAUGCAGUGAAAGGAUCUGUGCAGGUGUCCUCGGAAACAGCUCCGAGGAUUAUAAAUACACUCUGUUGGGACAUGUGUCACUGGGAUUCAAAAGCACUGCUGCAGUGUCUUGUUACGAGCCCAAGCUUGCCCUGAGCCUAUGGUCCCCCCAUCUAUGGCGCAGAUACUGGUUUUACAGACCAUGGGAUGUACCCCUGUGCAGCUGAGGACCAGGGCCCUUACACUGGCACAGUGAAGGACGGCCAGUUUGCACAGGUUGUGCUCUGUGUGCCCUGCCUCAGACUCUACACUGACUUCCUCUCUGCUUCAUUACAGACUGUGUCAGGGAAGAGGGAGGCAAGGUCCUGGUUCACUGUGAAGCCGGGGUCUCCCGGUCGCCCACCAUCUGCAUGGCUUACCUCAUGAAGACCAAG